AACGAACGCUGGCGGCAGGCCUAACACAUGCAAGUCGAACGCACCGCAAGGUGAGUGGCGCACGGGUGAGUAACACGUGGGAAUGUACCCUUUGGUUCGGAAUAACGUUUGGAAACGAACGCUAAUACCGGAUGAGCCCUGCGGGGGAAAGAUUUAUAGCAAAAGGAGCAGCCCGCGUCUGAUUAGUUGGUUGGUGGGGUAAAGGCUACCAAGGCGACGAUCAGUAGCUGGUCUGAGAGGAUGAUCAGCCACACUGGGACUGAGACACGGCCCAGACUCCUACGGGAGGCAGCAGUGGGGAAUAUUGGACAAUGGGCGCAAGCCUUAUCCAGCCAUGCCGCGUGAGUGAUGAAGGCCUUCGGGUUGUAAAGCUCUUUCGCACACGACGAUGAUGACGGUAGUGUGAGAAGAAGCCCCGGCUAACUUCGUGCCAGCCGCCGCAGUAA
rnacentral:rRNA from 1 species